UACGUAGGGGGCAAGCGUUAUCCGGAUUUACUGGGUGUAAAGGGAGCGCAGACGGAACUGCAAGUCUGAUGUGAAAGCCCCGGGCUCAACCGCGGGACUGCAUUGGAAACUGUAGAUCUGGAGUGCCGGAGGGGCAAGCGGAAUUCCUAGUGUAGCGGUGAAAUGCGUAGAUAUUAGGAGGAACACCGGUGGCGAAGGCGGCUUACUGGACGAUUACUGACGUUGAGGCUCGAAAGCGUGGGGAGCAAACAGGAUUAGAUACCCCCGUAGUCCCUGA
rnacentral:rRNA from 1 species